AGUGAACGCUGGCGGUAGGCCUAACACAUGCAAGUCGAACGGCAGCACAGUAAGAGCUUGCUCUUACGGGUGGCGAGUGGCGGACGGGUGAGGAAUACAUCGGAAUCUACUUUUUCGCGGGGGAUAACGUCGGGAAACUUACGCUAAUACCGCAUACGACCUACGGGUGAAAGCGGGGGAUCUUCUGACCUUGCGCGAUUGAAUGAGCCGAUGUCGGAUUAGCUAGUUGGCGGGGUAAAGGCCCACCAAGGCGACGAUCCGUAGCUGGUCUGAGAGGAUGAUCAGCCACACUGGAACUGAGACACGGUCCAGACUCCUACGGGAGGCAGCAGUGGGGAAUAUUGGGCAAUGGGCGCAAGCCUGAUCCAGCCAUGCCGCGUGGGUGAAGAAGGCCUUCGGGUUGUAAAGCCCUUUUGUUAGGAAAGAAAAGCAGCAGGUUAAUACCCCGCUGUUCUGACGGUACCCAAAGAAUAAGCACCGGCUAACUUCGUG
rnacentral:rRNA from 1 species